rnacentral:rRNA from 1 species
UACGAAGGGGGCUAGCGUUGUUCGGAAUCACUGGGCGUAAAGGGCGCGUAGGCGGCUGUUCAAGUCGGGGGUGAAAGCCUGUGGCUCAACCACAGAAUUGCCUUCGAUACUGGACGGCUGGAGACCGGAAGAGGUCAGUGGAACUGCGAGUGUAGAGGUGAAAUUCGUAGAUAUUCGCAAGAACACCAGUGGCGAAGGCGGCUGACUGGUCCGGUUCUGACGCUGAGGUGCGAAAGCGUGGGGAGCAAACAGG